UACGUAGGCAGCGAGCGUUUGUUCGGAAUUACUGGGCGUAAAGAGUGUGUAGGCGGUGCUCCAAGUCUGUUGUGAAAUCUCCCGGCUUAACUGGGAGGGUGCGGCGGAAACUAGAGUGCUAGAGGGUGGGAGAGGUAAGCGGAAUUCCUGGUGUAGCGGUGAAAUGCGUAGAUAUCAGGAGGAACACCUGUGGUGUAGACAGCUUACUGGACCACUUCUGACGCUGAGACACGAAAGCGUGGGUAGCAAACAGG
rnacentral:rRNA from 1 species